AUAAAUAAAUCAAAAAGUAAUAAAAUCAAAUUCUAUUUGAAACAUGCAAAAAGUGGAAAACAUGGAUAAAAUUUUCAAGUUUGUUAAUGUUAUGAUCAUCAUUUUUUUCCUAUUUCUUGCUUCAACGCGAGUUUCAUAUGGUUAACCAUCUUUAUCUCCUUCUUAAAUUUCCUUCUUUCCUUCUAACACAAUAUUUUAUUCCAUUUUAUAACAAUUUUUUUUUUCUCUUUUUACAUUACAGCCAACAUUCCAUGUAAAACUGAUCGUGAUUGUCCAGUAGUUUCCAUCAACCAGUUCAAGAAUUCAAAACCUAUAAGAAUGAGGUGUCGUAAUGGUUUUUGUAUUUUGAGAUAAGACAUUAAAUGAAAUUUUUUAUAGUUUUUUUAAUUUCACGUACUUUUGUAAGAUGAUGUAAGUGAAAUGAAAUAAAGCAUAAAAAUUAUUA
rnacentral:lncRNA from 1 species